rnacentral:rRNA from 1 species
UACAGAGGCCACAAGCGUUAGUCGGAAUCACUGGGCUUAAAGGGUGCGUAGGCGGCUCGCAAGGUGCUUUGUGAAAUCCCGGAGCUCAACUCCGGAACAGCAGGGCAUACUGGCGAGCUAGAGGCAGGUAAGGGUCGCGAGAACAGUAGGUGGAGCGGUGAAAUGCGUAGAUAUCUACUGGAAUGCCGAUGGUGAAGACGCGCGACUGGGCCUGUCCUGACGCUGAGGCACGAAAGCGUGGGGAGCAAACAGG